rnacentral:lncRNA from 1 species
UUUUCUUCUUUACUUUUGAUAAAGAAGAAAAUUAAUCAAAAGAAGAAAACUUUAUCAAAAGUAAAGAAGAAAAAGAAAACAGGAAGAAAUUAAUAAGUUUAAAGAAGAAAGACUAAAAAGAAAAGCAGAAAAACAGAUGAAGAAAAAGAUUGUUAAAAAGCAGAAAUUUAAAGCAGCCUUGGGAAUAAAAUGAAGAGGAUGAAAGUUGUAGUGAUCAAGAACAUUGUGCUUCUUAUAAUGGGAUAUUAAUGAAUGGUGAUGAUGAUACUCUUAAAAGUAUUGGAUAUGACAACAUUCCCAGAUGGUUUCAUUUAAAAUGCACAGACAUGUUUGAUGAUAAACCUUAUGAGACUAUUGCAAAUACAGAGUUUAUUUAUAAUUUAUGUUUGUAUUUACAUAAUAAACAAGAUUGUUCAGUAUUUGUAUUCUCAUAUGAUUUUUUCAUAAUUAAAAAAGUUUGCUAUUACUGUUUGUUAUUUGUUUUACCAGAAACUGGGAUUUUUACAAUAAUCCUGUGAUCACUGGCUGAGAACAGGCUAAGCAUUGGAUCUACUAGGCUGACAAAUGGUGAAUUUUGACAUUUUUUUACUCUGAUGAUAUUUAUUUAUAUACCUUAUCAAAUUUAUUAAAAGUAAUAGUUUCUUCAAAAACUAUCAUAUAUGAAUGACAGUUUUUGAGAGGUUUCAUAUUUUUUGUUUUCUACUGUAAAAUUAGGAAAAGAAACAUUGCUAAAAAUGCUAUCUGGCUGACCAUUGGAGAAGUUACUUAUAAAAUUAAAAAGUUAUUGGAAGCACAAUUUUUGAAAUAAAUUUACAGUUUUGUAUUUGUAAUUUUGUCUAAUUCAGGUAUUAAAUUAUAUCAAAAAUUUAUUUUCCUUUAAAUUUGAAAAAUUCAUAGGCUAAAAUAUACCUUACUAUGAUGAUAGCAUCUCAUAUUAGAGUUCAGACUGUCAAUGUUUUCCUGCACUUUUAGAAUUAUGAACAGAUACAAAUACUUGCAAACUGUAUGUGCAUAACAAAUUCUGAUUCACCUCCAAAUCAAAACGAAAAUGAAAAUUUAUCAAGUUUUCCUUAU